UCCCGCCGCCGCAUCCGCCAACGAGGAGGCCGGAACUACCGAAUCCGGUGAUUCCAGCCUCCUCGUCGACAGAUCCGGCCGCCCUGA
rnacentral:pre_miRNA from 1 species